rnacentral:tRNA from 1 species
UGUUCUGUGGUGAAGUUGGUUAACGCAUCCUGUCUAGCAAAUUGGGAAGACGUGGAUUAGAAUCCCACCAGAACUG